AUUGAACGCUGGCGGCAGGCCUAACACAUGCAAGUCGAGCGAGCGGCGGACGGGUGAGUAAUGUCUGGGAAACUGCCUGAUGGAGGGGGAUAACUACUGGAAAAGGGUGCUAAUACAGCAUAGCAUCAGAUGUGGCCAGAUGGGAUGAGCUAGUAGGUGGGGUAACGCCAAACCUAGGCGACGAUCCAUAACAUGUCUGAGAGGAUGACCAGCCACACGGGAACGUAUACACGGUCCAGACUCCUACGGGAGGAAGCAGUGUGGAAUAUUGCACAAUGGACGCAAGCCUGAUGCAGCCAUGCCGCGUGUGUGAAGAAGGCCUUCGGGUUGUAAAGCACUUUCAGCGGGUAGGCGUUACCCGCAGAAGAAGCACCGGCUAACGCCGUGCCAGCAGCCGCGGUAAUUC
rnacentral:rRNA from 1 species